rnacentral:other from 1 species
GUGACCCUGCUGUGCUCGUGCUGCUGCAUAACCGGUUUUGGGCCAACACCAGUUACUAGGGGAGCCCUAUUACGGUAGUGACGCGAUAGGCUCCGGCCAAGGCGAAAAGUCUAACGUAGCGGCUCCCAACCUGUGCAAACAGGUUCAAAACUUCGCAGCAUACGACACGGUGGGGUUUUU